ACGAACGCUGGCGGCGUGCCUAACACAUGCAAGUCGAACGAGGUCCAUGCAGUGGCAACACUGCGGAAGACCUAGUGGCGAACGGGUGAGUAACACGUGAGGAACUUGCCCCGGAGACCGGGAUAACCCUCCGAAAGGAGAGCUAAUACCGGAUGUGCUCACUGAGUCGCAUGGCUCGGUGAGGAAAUGGCUUCCGCUCCGGGAGAGCCUCGCGGCCUAUCAGCUUGUUGGCGGGGUAACGGCCCACCAAGGCAUCGACGGGUAGCUGGUCUGAGAGGACGAUCAGCCACACUGGGACUGAGACACGGCCCAGACUCCUACGGGAGGCAGCAGUGGGGAAUCUUGCGCAAUGGGCGAAAGCCUGACGCAGCAACGCCGCGUGCGGGAUGACGGCCCUCGGGUUGUAAACCGCUUUCAGUGGGGACGAAACAAGACGGUACCCACAGAAGAAGCCCCGGCCAACUACGU
rnacentral:rRNA from 1 species